rnacentral:rRNA from 1 species
CCUACGGGUGGCAGCAGUAGGGAAUAUUGCGCAAUGGGGGCAACCCUGAAGCAGCAAUGCCGCGUGGGGGAUGAAGGUUUUCGGAUUGUAAAGUCCUUUUGUUAGAGAAGAUAAUGACGGUAUCUAACGAAUAAGCACCGGCUAACUCCGUGCCAGCAGCCGCGGUAAUACGGAGGGUGCAAGCGUUACUCGGAAUUACUGGGCGUAAAGAGCGCGUAGGCGGGAUAGCAAGUCAGAUGUGAAAUCCUAGGGCUUAACCAUAGAACUGCAUUUGAGACUGUUAAUCUAGAGUAAUGGAGAGGAAGGUGGAAUUCUUGGUGUAGAGGUAAAAUCCGUAGAGAUCAAGAGGAAUACUCAUUGCGAAGGCGACCUGCUAGAACAUAACUGACGCUGAUGCGCGAAAGCGUGGGGAGCAAACAGGAUUAGAUACCCUUGUAGUC